rfam:Rattus norvegicus chromosome 2, whole genome shotgun sequence.
CCCACGGUUUUAUUUCAGGAAACCACCUAAUAUAAAAUUCAAAUAAUUUU